rnacentral:rRNA from 1 species
AUUGAACGCUCGCGGGAUGCCUUCCACCUGCAAGUCGAACGGAGUGGCGAACGGGUGAGUAAUGUAUUGGAACGUGCCCAGUAGCGGGGGAUCACUUCGUGCCACCGUAGCUAAUACCGCAUCCUAUUGGGUCAGCCGAACUCGGAUACGCUAGUUGGGGGGGUAAAGGCCCACCACGGCGACGAUCCGUAACUGGUUUGAGAGGAUGACCAGCCACACUGGAACUGAGACACGGCCCAGACUCCUACGGGAGGCAGCAGUGGGGAAUUUUGGACAAUGGGGGAAAGCCUGAUCCAGCCAUCCCGCGUGGGCGGUGAAGGCCUUCGGAGUUUAAAGCACUUUAGGCUGGAAAGCGUUACCGACAGAAUAAGCACCGGCUAACUACGGGCCAGCAGCCGCGGUAAUAC